AAACUCACUGGAUUGAAUCUGGAGAGCCUGUUAACGUCACGGAUCGUUCAGGCAUACCACCACUGUCUGUAGGGAGAAGAACAAACAGGUUUAUUUCUAGGAUAUGAAGGUCUAGACUGAGAUAUCAUUCUUUAUACCCAAUAGUUUUUGGCUGGGAAAUGGCAACAUCAGGUAUGUAUACUCUAUUCUAUAAAGCAAAUAAAUAAAUAGAUAAAUAAAUAUGUUAUAGGUUACAGAAAUGUGAUAUUUUACAGCAGACAUAGAAGCUAAACAUAUAUACAGCUCAGGGGAAAAAGUAAGAGAGCCCUUCAGGUUUUGAAGCAGUUUCUCGUGAUUUUGCUAUUUAUAGGUUUAUGUUUGAGUAAAAUAAACAUUGUUGUUUUAUUCUAUAAACUACAGACAACAUUUCUCCCAAAUUCCAAAUAAAUAUUGUCAUUUAAAUCAUUUACUUGCAGAAAAUGAAAAAUGGCUGAAAUAACAAAAAGAUGCAGAGCUUUUAGACCUAUUUGGUGGAAUAACCCUGGUUGGAUUUUAAUCACAGUUUUCAUGCAACUUGGCAUAUUCUCCUCCACCAGUCUUACACACUGCUUUUGGAUAAAUGUAUGUUAUUGUUAGUGGCAGCCUUAAUCAACAGUCAUGAGCAUUGUGCAGUUUGGCAAGGUUAGCUUGUAUUUUGUGGGGAAAAAAAACCUUUUGUAGUUUUCACAUUUUUUUAUUUGCUCAUUUAUUUGUACAGCUCACAAUUAAACACAGUACAGAAAAA